rnacentral:rRNA from 1 species
GACGAACGCUUGCGGCGUGCUUAACACAUGCAAGUCGAACGGAAAGGCCCUGCUUUUGUGGGGUGCUUGAGUGGCGAACGGGUGGGUAACACGUGAGUAACCUGCCCUUGACUUUGGGAUAACUUCAGGAAACUGGGGCUAAUACCGGAUAGGAGCUCCUGCUGCAUGGUGGGGGUUGGAAAGUUUCGGCGGUUGGGGAUGGACUCGCGGCUUAUCAGCUUGUUGGUGGGGUAGUGGCUUACCAAGGCUUUGACGGGUAGCCGGCCUGAGAGGGUGACCGGCCACAUUGGGACUGAGACACGGCCCAGACUCCUACGGGAGGCAGCAGUGGGGAAUAUUGCACAAUGGGCGGAAGCCUGAUGCAGCAACGCCGCGUGCGGGAUGACGGCCUUCGGGUUGUAAACCGCUUUCGCCUGUGACGAAGCGUGAGUGACGGUAAUGGGUAAAGAAGCACCGGCUAACUACGUGCCAGCAGCCGCGGUGAUACGUAGGGUGCGAGCGUUGUCCGGAUUUAUUGGGCGUAAAGGGCUCGUAGGUGGUUGAUCGCGUCGGAAGUGUAAUCUUGGGGCUUAACCCUGAGCGUGCUUUCGAUACGGGUUGACUUGAGGAAGGUAGGGGAGAAUGGAAUUCCUGGUGGAGCGGUGGAAUGCGCAGAUAUCAGGAGGAACACCAGUGGCGAAGGCGGUUCUCUGGGCCUUUCCUGACGCUGAGGAGCGAAAGCGUGGGGAGCGAACAGGCUUAGAUACCCUGGUAGCCCACGCUGUAAACGGUGGGUACUAGGUGUGGGGUCCAUUCCACGGGUUCCGUGCCGUAGCUAACGCUUUAAGUACCCCGCCUGGGGAGUACGGCCGCAAGGCUAAAACUCAAAGGAAUUGACGGGGCCCCGCACAAGCGGCGGAGCAUGCGGAUUAAUUCGAUGCAACGCGUAGAACCUUACCUGGGUUUGACAUGGAUCGGGAGUGCUCAGAGAUGGGUGUGCCUCUUUUGGGGUCGGUUCACAGGUGGUGCAUGGCUGUCGUCAGCUCGUGUCGUGAGAUGUUGGGUUAAGUCCCGCAACGAGCGCAACCCUUGUUCACUGUUGCCAGCACGUUAUGGUGGGGACUCAGUGGAGACCGCCGGGGUCAACUCGGAGGAAGGUGGGGAUGACGUCAAGUCAUCAUGCCCCUUAUGUCCAGGGCUUCACGCAUGCUACAAUGGCUGGUACAGAGAGUGGCGAGCCUGUGAGGGUGAGCGAAUCUCGGAAAGCCGGUCUCAGUUCGGAUUGGGGUCUGCAACUCGACCUCAUGAAGUCGGAGUCGCUAGUAAUCGCAGAUCAGCAACGCUGCGGUGAAUACGUUCCCGGGGCU